AGGAUCCAAAAGGAUAUAGAAACAAACUGGAAACAAAACACAAGAGGGAAGACAUUUGAAAAGGAGAGAAAUGGAAUUGAUGGCAUUUGGACAGUGCUUUCGUUUUCGAGAAGAUGGGAUUUUUUGAUGGUCCAGAAGUUCUCUUUGAGGGAUUGGCUGUCAAGCCACACUGCUUGGUGCAAGCAACAUGGUGGGCACCCAUCUUUUCCAAUAAAGGAGGACUUACAGCCGGAGAACUGAAAAGGAGGAAACAAACUCUGGUGUCAGCAACCAACAUCUGGAAACUGAUUUGCAGUUUCUUGUCCUGGCUUUGUAGCUGGGCAUACAUUGUGUCUCCUGGAAAUAAGCUGAAAGAAUGUGACUGUGUUAUGCCUCUGUGCUGGUGAAGAUGCAUGGGGGAUAGGACAAGUACAUGGUGGAUGUUGCUGUGCAGGGAAGAUAAAUAAGCCUUCUCUAUCCCUGGCAGAAUUUCUUUAGUGAGCCAGCUGGCUGAGCUGCUUGGGGACAAGAUUUAAGCAGUUUCUCAGCCCUGUGAGAUUCAGAGGUGAUUGCAGGCUUCAUUCACACGCAGUGGUACCCAUGGGUUCCAACACUCAGCACCAGACGAACAGUGCUGUCUGUGAGGGAGUAGGUGAUCCACGGUGAAUCUGAUGUAGGCUAUGACAAUAAUUAAUGUCCUGUGAAGCUGUAUCUCUCUGGUGCUUAUUUUAAGUCAUGCUGGAAUUGGAGAAGGAGGUGUGAGGCGUUGUUGUCUCCCAGGCACCCUCUCAAGUCCUCUUGGCCCAUGCUGCCCUUUUGAGAAAUGCCAUAAGUGGAUCAUUCCAAAGCUAUUUGGAACAUAAGAUUAACAGAGGGGUUAUACUUCACCCUUUGGGGUCAAUCUCUGAUCAUUUGGGGACAGUAACCCUGAAGUUUUCACAAGAAGCUUUGUAUUCAAUCGUGGAUGCUAAAGGCUUACACUGUCUACUCUUCCUGAUGGUCCAAAUCUGUUUUCAAAUGGUAAAAGAAGGUCUGCAAUCCUUAUUUGUUUGACAUGUGUGCAUGUUUUGCUAUUCACAUCUAUGCAAAUGUUAUUUGUAUGUACAGAAGUUACUUACUGUGGACACUGGGAAAGCCAGGACAC